GGCGCAGUUCUUGCGGGAGGAGCGGGGCGGUGCGCUCCUGGCCACGCAGGCUGGAAACUGUAGCUCUUAACGGUUCCCCGCCCGUUGGUGGCAAGGCGGCUGGACUAGAAUCCUAGCAGGCGAUAUGCGAGAAGGCGGGCAGCCCAAGAGGGUUGGGCAGGGCAGUGUGGAUCUCGCCGCUUCCACAGCGAUGCUGGCUACUGAUUUCGGACACCUCCUUGCCAUGGGAUGCUUCAUUUCUGAUUCCUGAAUGCGGAUUACUAUUUUAAAAAAGCCUAAAAACUCUGGUCAUGGAUAUUAGACACUGUUAUUGUACUUUGUGAAGAAUUUACUCCUUCAGGAUCAAUUACACACGGGCUCAUCAGCACCUUUGUCAAUAAAGGAACAAGAACCAUGUGGCAUCUAUGGAUGUGGUGAGAAAACUGACACUUGGAGAGGUAGAGUAGCUUUAUUUACUUCACACAAGCUUUUGAUGAAUUUCAAGUCUCAACCUAGAAGUCUUCCUCUAAGGUUCGUGCUUUCACGCACCUGUAAUUCAAAUACUGAUGAAAACAAAACUAUUGCCCUCCUACCAAAUGGGAAAUUAAUGUUAUGACUGGAUAAGACAAUUGUGAAGAAACUGCACUUCGAGGUUGUCUGUCUCCGUAUUCCGAUGGAAAAGGCUGGACUUUAGAAGCAUUGCUCGCUCCUUCAGUUUCUAACAAGAGUUUUACAGUUUCUGAUUAAAUACCAAUGGGAUAUCACCUCCCAUCUCUUAGGAUGGCUGUUAUAAAAAGGACAAGAGAUAACAAGUGUUGGUGAUGGUGUGGAGAGAAGGGAACCUUUGUACACUGCUGGUUAAAAUGAAAUGAAAUCAGCAUCUGAUAGAGAUAUCUUCACUCCCCUCUUCUCCGUGCCCCACCACAGCAUUGCUCCCAACAGCCAAGCCAUGGGAUGAAGUUACUGUGCAUUGAUGGAUGAGUGGAGAAAAGAAAAUGUGGGGGAGGUGUUUGUGCAUGUAUGUGUGUGUGUGUAUAAUAUAUAAUAAUAUAAUAUUUUUCAGCUUUUAAGAAGUUGAAGAUACUGCCAUUUGUGAUAACAUAAAUGAAUCUGGAGGAUAUUAAGCUAAGUAAAAUAACUUAGGGAGAGAGAAAAAUACUGCAUAAUUUCUGUUACAUAUGAAAUCUUUAAAAAGGUUUAAUACAUAGAGACAUGAUAGAGUGAUGAUUUGGGGGAUAAGAGACACAAGUCAACGUUUCAGUUAUAUAAAAUAAAUGAAUCUAGAGGACUAAAGUACAAUUUAAAGGUUAUAGUUACUAUUUUUAUAUUAUAUACUAGUGAUUUUUGAACAGGGUAAACUUUAGGUGCUUUGACACCAAAAGGAAACUACAUGAGUUCAUGUAUAUGUUAAAUUGUUUGACCGCAGUCAUCAUUGAUAUGUAUAUGUAUAUAUAUAUAAUUAUGGGCUCAUUAAAUUUAAAUGCUAUAAAUAGGUAACAAAGAAUAAAGUUAAUUGAAAAACU
rnacentral:lncRNA from 1 species